GGGGAGUUAGCUCAGUUGGUAGAGCGCCAGAAUCGCACUCUGGAGGUCAGCGGUUCGAGUCCGCUACUCUCCA
rnacentral:tRNA from 1 species